AUUGAACGCUGGCGGCAUGCCUUACACAUGCAAGUCGAACGGCAGCACGGGAGCAAUCCUGGUGGCGAGUGGCGAACGGGUGAGUAAUAUAUCGGAACGUGCCCAGUCGUGGGGAUAACGUAGCGAAAGUUACGCUAAUACCGCAUACGAUCUAAGGAUGAAAGCGGGGGAUCGCAAGACCUCGCGCGAUUGGAGCGGCCGAUAUCAGAUUAGGUAGUUGGUGAGGUAAAGGCUCACCAAGCCAACGAUCUGUAGCUGGUCUGAGAGGACGACUAGCCACACUGGAACUGAGACACGGUCCAGACUCCUACGGGAGGCAGCAGUGGGAAUUUGGACAAUGGGCGCGAAGCCUGAUCCAGCAAUGCCGCGUGCAGGAUGAAGGCCUCGGUUGUAACUGCUUUGUUACGGUAACGGAAACGGUACGG
rnacentral:rRNA from 1 species